UGGGACCUGCGGAAACACGGGGUAACAGGAUAAAUACUCCGGGUUUGGAUUGGGGGCAGCACUCUGCCCUAAGCCUGGGACAGGCAGGGACGCAGUGCCAGCCCCUUGCUGUGCUCUGGCCAUGCCACUGCCACUGCUGACAUCUGCAGCAAUGCUCCCACCUUGCUCACUGCCCAACCUUGGACCCACAGUAAUCCCUUCUCGUUUUUUGGUUGCCCUCGGGCACUAAAGGCGAAAAAAAAGGCCUCAAAACUUUCCUCCCCGUUUCUGCACCCAGCCCCUAGAACAAAUGGCAUUGGCAGUCAGCUUUUUGCACUUGGCUGGCCACUAAUUUAGUACCUCUUUUGCCUUAAAUUUUAGCUGCAGGAUAGACAAGACCAUGAGGACAAGCAUGAAGACACAGCCCAGCCUUCACUGCUCCAGACUGGUAAACCUGCAGGGAGCUGCAGGGACCAGAGCCAAUCCAUCUCCUAAGGCCAUUGGCAACCAUGCUCCAACACCAGGCAGGAGGUUAGAGCAGCAUCACCUGUUCCGGUCACGAGCUGAAGAUUUCCCAAAUGGACAUCUGUCUGGAAGACACCAUGCUGGUUGGAAAGGCUGUGAUUCCAAUGGUGUUAUGUCUCUGGCAACCCACUGAAGUUGCCACACUUUCUCAGAGCCUUUGAGUCCCUAUGCUGGCUGUGCCACUGCCUGUGUUCUUCACCUCUGGUUUAAUUCCCUGGUUCCUGGAGCCCAGUGGGUGGGGGUGUGUCAUGACCCAGCGAGGAUGUCGCUGUCAGGUGAUUUGCUGCUGUGAAAUGUCCAGGGUUCAAAUGCCAUGGAAAUUCCAAUAACUGCAGGUAGCUGUAUCUGAAGUUGAAAUAAAUGCCUGGGAUGGCACGUUAG